CUACGUGUUAGUUCCCACGUUCAUAUACAUAUACAUGUACAUAUAUACUACAUACUAUGAACCACGUGCGCAUUAACUGAAAGGAGAGAGAAAGAGAGAGAGAAAGAGAGAAAGUGAGCUGCUCAGUUGUAACUUAUUGGAGAAAUUAACAACAUGUCAGUUUUCUGUUUCGCAUUGUCUCUGCUAACUGUGAUCUGCAUGCAACCACAGUUUUCAUCGGCGUGGUUUAGUAGUAAGACUCACAUCGUUAUGCUCGUUAUCGCUAGUACCAUGGUCAAAGAAGGUACCCAUGGCGCAGGGGUGGUAUGGCUUGUCCCAGACUCACUGCAUCGAAACGUUUGGGAAGGGGGAAGUUACUCUGUGCGGUGCGGUGCCGUCUGCAGUGGGACGUGUUCGUAUUCGUGGUCGACCGAGAAUCGACGGAUUUCAACCGGUCCUGUGCUCAAUUUGACAAACAUCAGAAGAAGCCAAGACGGACAGCACUACGUGUGCUCCGUACUCGAUUCUGGUUCUCCAGGAACCAGGACAACAUCGACU